AAAAAAAGAGAGCAGGGAUAUGGGAUGAUAGUCAGAAGAGGACGGGUCAAGAGAUGUUAUUUUUAGGAUGGUAGCAUGUUUAGGGGCAGCAGGAAAGUCUGAAAGGUAGGAAAGGCAUGAUCAAGGUGUGGCUGAGAAAGAAAAAGGCAAGGUGGGAAGAAUUCAUUCCUAAGCUUUAAGAUAGACAGAGAUAAGUAGGCUGACAAAGAAAGAGAGCGUGUGAGAGAAACAAACACAGAAACACAGAAAAACAGAGAGACACCCAGAGACACAGGCAGGCUCAGAGAGGACAGGGGAUAUAGUAAAACAGUAUAUAGCAGAAUAGUAAGUCAGAAUAGUUACGUAUCCUAAGUUAAUGUAUAGCAGCUUCCUCUCACGAUAUUCUAAACAGUAUCCCAUACAUCAAAUAUCGCCAAACAGAAUAUAGAGGGUACAGCUGAUUAUCUACAGAAAAUACACAGUAUAAUAGUGUAAUACAGCAAAAGUUCAGUAAUUGUGCGCCAGAUUCAAUUGCACUCACAUGAUGAAGACUUAAAAUGACCUCAGGGUGCCUCCCCUUAGAUAGUUGGGGGGCUGAUC